AAAUCUCCAAUAUGGCUGACGUGGAAUCGGUUGAUUUCCUAAAAAAUCAAGAGGGUCUGAAUGAUGUUCCGUUGGAGGGGGAAAUUCUGUCCCCUAAUGCAGGUACAGAAGGUGAAGAACAGGAAUUUAAUACAUUGGACGAACCAGUCAGAGAAACCAUAAUGAGAGAUUUAAAAGCAAUAGGAAUCAAAUUCUGGCAUGUACUGUAUCCCAAACAAAGCAAAGCACUUUUAAAAGAAUGGGAUCUUUGGGGUCCAUUAAUUCUGUGUGUGUUCAUGGCAAUAAUGUUACAAGGAUCAUCUCCAGACAGUAGCAGUAGUAACACUAAAGACAAGGGUGAUGGCGGGCCACAGUUUGCUGAAGUUUUUGUCAUCUUUUGGGUGGGUGCUGUUGUUGUCACCCUCAACACAAAACUACUCGGAGGAAACAUGUAAGUCUUAAAUUACAAACUACAUGUACAAACUGUCUACUGGGUUUCUUUGAGCAUAUUUGAAGUCUUCCAAAAAAGAAAAUCCUCCCCAAAACAAUCCCUGCCUGUCUGCAUGCAAACCUGCAUUGCAUAGUUAAUUUUAAUUUUCAAAAAUAUUUUGCUUCUUUAUGUAUGCAAAAUGUUAUGACGGCUAUAACUCAAGCUGCUUGGUCCGAUUUUAUAUCAAAUUUUGUAAAUGCUUUUAAACGAUGGUUAAUGUUUUAGCAAGUCAAAAAUAAACCAGGUUACAUUUUGUUCACUAAUAUUUCUGAAGUUUGCCUUGUUUAAUAUUGUUGCAUAACAUGCGGGUUGAAAAAACCUUAUCAAUCAGGGGACAAUAUCAAACAGAUCCUUUUUCUAAAAAUUCUCAUGAUGCAGUUUGCUUUAUUUUUAUUUUAUCUACUUUGAAUAUUUCUAACUUUGAAAGGAGACUGCGUUUCUACUGGUGUAGAUAGGCAAAAGUCUAUAACUUUCGAACAUAAUUGGUUUAUAUGGAAAAUUAUUCGAUACUUUAAUACUGAAAAAUUGAACCAAGCAGCUUUCAUCAAGGUCCAAAAGAAUCAGACUUUGAUAUUUCUGACAGCAUCUGAAAUACCAUGGAUAUUUAAGUGAUUUGGAAGUCCCAACUACCGUUUCUUUAUUUACUGGUAUAUAACCCAUUAAUCUAACAUUGUAUGAAAUCUAAAAAAAAAUUCUUGUUCCUUUUAAGUUUGAAAUAACAAGGUUUGACUGUAAUUUGGUAAUGAUGGUUUUUGAAUGUAAAAUACCGGUACACAAUGGACUAAUUUAUGUUUUCUUCUUGUUUGCAGCUCAUUUUUUCAGAGUAUCUGUGUGCUGGGGUAUUGUGUUUGUCCGUUAACGGUGGCUCUCAUCGUGUGCCGAAUUAUUCUCAUAGCCACCCAAUCAACGCUUCUGUUCAUCAUCAGAUUUGUGAUUGUCAUAGCAGCAUUUGGAUGGUCCACAUUCGCUUCCACAGCCUUCCUAGCAGACAGCCAGCCAUCACAUCGAAAAGCACUAGCGAUUUAUCCUAUAUUCUUAUUUUAUUUUGUGAUUAGUUGGUUAAUUAUUUCACACACACAUACAUCUUAACACAAAGUCCAAAGAAAUCCUGUUAUAUAAUGAUGCAGUGUAAAUAAUAUUUAUUAUGAGAUUGUGUUUUAUUUAUUGUGAUAUUUUUCAUUGUAACCGUGUUUAUAAAAGCAAACAAGAAUUUUGUAUUAAAAUUAUUAUU
rnacentral:misc_RNA from 1 species